rnacentral:rRNA from 1 species
GACGAACGCUGGCGGCGUGCCUAAUACAUGCAAGUAGAACGCUGAAGAGAGGAGCUUGCUCUUCUUGGAAGAGUUGCGAACGGGUGAGUAACGCGUAGGUAACCUGCCUUGUAGCGGGGGAUAACUACUGGAAACGAUAGCUAAUACCGCAUAACAAUGGAUGACACAUGUCAUUUAUUUGAAAGGGGCAACUGCUCCACUACAAGAUGGACCUGCGUUGUAUUAGCUAGUAGGUGAGGUAACGGCUCACCUAGGCGACGAUACAUAGCCGACCUGAGAGGGUGAUCGGCCACACUGGGACUGAGACACGGCCCAGACUCCUACGGGAGGCAGCAGUAGGGAAUCUUCGGCAAUGGGGGCAACCCUGACCGAGCAACGCCGCGUGAGUGAAGAAGGUUUUCGGAUCGUAAAGCUCUGUUGUAAGUCAAGAACGAGUGUGAGAGUGGAAAGUUCACACUGUGACGGUAGCUUACCAGAAAGGGACGGCUAACUACGUGCCAGCAGCCGCCGUAA